AGAGUUUGAUCCUGGCUCAGAUUGAACGCUGGCGGCAGGCCUAACACAUGCAAGUCGAGCGGAUGAUGGGAGCUUGCUCCCGGAUUCAGCGGCGGACGGGUGAGUAAUGCCUAGGAAUCUGCCUGGUAGUGGGGGACAACGUUUCGAAAGGAACGCUAAUACCGCAUACGUCCUACGGGAGAAAGCAGGGGACCUUCGGGCCUUGCGCUAUCAGAUGAGCCUAGGUCGGAUUAGCUAGUUGGUGGGGUAAAGGCCUACCAAGGCGACGAUCCGUAACUGGUCUGAGAGGAUGAUCAGUCACACUGGAACUGAGACACGGUCCAGACUCCUACGGGAGGCAGCAGUGGGGAAUAUUGGACAAUGGGCGAAAGCCUGAUCCAGCCAUGCCGCGUGUGUGAAGAAGGUCUUCGGAUUGUAAAGCACUUUAAGUUGGGAGGAAGGGCAGUAAGUUAAUACCUUGCUGUUUUGACGUUACCAACAGAAUAAGCACCGGCUAACUUCGUGCCAGCAGCCGCGGUAAUACGAAGGGUGCAAGCGUUAAUCGGAGUUACUGGGCGUAAAGCGCGCGUAGGUGGUUUGGUAAGAUGGAUGU
rnacentral:rRNA from 1 species